UACAGAGGUCUCAAGCGUUGUUCGGAUUCAUUGGGCGUAAAGGGUGUGUAGGUGGCGCCGUAAGUCGGGUGUGAAAUCUCGGGGCUUAACUCCGAAACUGCAUUCGAUACUGCGGUGCUUGAGGACUGGAGAGGAGACUGGAAUUCAUGGUGUAGCAGUGAAAUGCGUAGAGAUCAUGAGGAAGACCAGUGGCGAAGGCGGGUCUCUGGACAGUUCCUGACACUGAGACACGAAGGCCAGGGGAGCGAACAGG
rnacentral:rRNA from 1 species